GACGGAGGAUGCAAGUGUUAUCCGGAAUUAUUGGGCGUAAAGCGUUUGUAGGUGGAAAAAUAAGUCUAUUGUUAAAUCCAGGAGCUCAACUUCUGUACAGCGAUAAGAAACUAUUUUUCUUGAGAAUGGUAGGGGUAGAAGGAAUUCCUAGUGUAGCGGUGAAAUGCGUAGAUAUUAGGAAGAACACCAAAGGCGAAGGCAUUCUACUGGGCCACUUCUGACACUGAGAGACGAAAGCUAGGGGAGCGAAUGGG
rnacentral:rRNA from 1 species